rnacentral:rRNA from 1 species
UACGUAGGGUGCAAGCGUUGUCCGGAAUUAUUGGGCGUAAAGGGCUCGUAGGCGGUUUGUCGCGUCGGGAGUGAAAACCAUGGGCUUAACUCAUGGCUUGCUUUCGAUACGGGCAGACUAGAGGUAUGCAGGGGAGAACGGAAUUCCUGGUGUAGCGGUGAAAUGCGCAGAUAUCAGGAGGAACACCGGUGGCGAAGGCGGGACUCUGGGCCGAUACUGACGCUGAGGAGCGAAAGCGUGGGGAGCAAACAGG